UUUGUUUAGAAAAUUGAGUUUUGCAAGUGGUAGUUAAUAAAGCGUCGUGCGGAUGUUAUAAAUAUCUAACAGCUUCUGUAUUAAUGACAGAUCAUUAAUAUAGAGAUCAUGUGAUAUAUGUGAUGUAAAAUAACGAUGACCAUUAAUGCGUCAACGUCAAACGGCAGAGUUGGUUGAAAAACAUGUAUCACAUUUACCGAGCUGCAGGAAGGACUAGAUACAAUACUUCUACCCUCAGUGUUGUCAUCACAACCAUAUGGUGUCACAGUUUUCUUUAACCUUUUUUUGAUUCAAGCGGCACUGUUGAUUCUUUUGUAAAACGAAUCGUGCGAUAGGCGUACAAGAUUAUAAGCUGGUAUAUUCGAUGAAUUAUUUUCGAAUUCCCGAAUUCAGUAGUCCUUCUUUUGCACACACAGAGGUGUUGCUUGAUAAUGAUUGUGAUUCCUGUAGUUAAAUAUUCGGGGAUGCGAUCUUGCCUUUUUAACCUUUUUGAUUCGAGCGUAAAUGAGUCUUUUGUAGACGAAACGUGCAUCUGGAUUACAAAAUUUAAAUCUUGGUAUCUAUGAUGAGUUUACUUGCAUAAAAAAUUGGAAUGAUCAUACUAAUAAAGAUGUUCAAAAACAAUGUAAUUUGCAUUGUUGUUUAUGUCUGAUCUAUAUACCACGCAAACAUAAAUCAAGCCUCUUUUUUUGUGUUUUGUUUCACCAACCCACCACAUCCAAGUCUACAAUGGUUACACGUUGAUUCGAAAACAAGAUUUGUUGAUUUAUAAUUCAGAUCAUCGUCGAUUCUGGUAUAAUAAGAAACUUUAUUUAAAUUCCUAGGAAAUUGAGCAUCUGUUACCGACAUUUCACAGGGUUUGCAGUCUUUGAAUUUCCAUUUUAAAAUGAGACACUGCUUAUCAGAAGCAUGUAUAUACAUCUGCGCUUCAGUAUGCAGUUUCCAAAUUGCAGUUGUCACUUUGUAUUACUAGACAAAUUCGGUAUUACGGUUACAACCACCUAUUGGUAGGCCGAUACGAUGUAUCAUUUAGUCGCUUAAUCUAUAAUUUUACUGAUUAUGUCCUAUCACCGAUUUGAACAUUUUAACUAUGCUGACUUCGCUUGGUGGAUAAUGCAUGCAUACCAGAAAAAGCUUAUCAUUUCGACACAUCAAGUUUCGAAUAUUUUGGAGUUCUUGUGAUUUCUUUAUUUUUUGUCGGUCACCUUUGCCACUUUGAAAACUUAACUUGAAGAUUGUUUCAUUGUUUUCUAUUAUAAUAACCUGUUUUUCAUUUUAGCGUAACGAUGUAUGAAUAAACUCAUCGUAGAUACAUUUUGUACCAGGAUUACAAUUGUGUACGCCAGAAAUGUUUCGUCAUUUAAAGACUCAUCAGUAAGGAUCGAAUCAUAAAAGUAAAAAAGGCAAACUAAAGUACGAAAUUGAAGAUUCUUAGUAUUUCGAAAAAUCAAAGUUUUGUAAACAGUUAAUGUAUAUAUAUGACCAUAUCAACGAUAAUUCAUAGCAGUACAGAAGUACUGACUGCUUGUUUGGUGAUACCCUCGGAGAAGAAACUUCCACUAUCAGUAGCAACGACCUAGUAGUUGUAAAUAAACUCAUCAUUAAUACCAGCACUUAAACUGUAUACGCCAGACGCUCGUUUAUUCAUUUAAUUUAUUCACUUGAUUUAUUGAUUCACACAACAAUUUCAGACAGGUUUUGUUUUUGUUAUUAUCGUUGUAACUUUUGAAAGAUAUAUCUUGCAGUAGGGACUCUUUCAAAGAGAAUGGCUGACACUGGGUUCAACUUCUGUUUCAGUACACAUCAAACUUUUCACUGUUUCGCUUUACUGUAUACCUAUUUGUGCGCCUAGUUUUGUUAGACGUCGACGUUUAACUGAUAUAAUUGUCAUUGUCUUCUUAGAAAGUAAUAUGUUUGGCACUAUUGUAUACGAACUAUGAACUACAGUAAGAUAAAUGUACUCUGAUGUGUUUACACUUUUUGCUGAUGUUGUUACAUAUUUUGGAUGGUGUUCUAGAUUUCAUGUCUCUUGAGAUAAUAAAUUUGUUGGUAAAUGAAUACACAGAUACAUGAUUUCGUUAUUAGUUGUUAGUACUUUCAGAUCGGUAUUUUGUGUCUUUAGCCUUUUAACUGUCAUACAAGUGGGAGGUUUAGAUAGCUAUCAAACUGAGUUUAUUCCCCAAUUUUCCCGGAAAAUACCUGUUCCAAGUAAGGAAUAUGACAAUUGUUUUCCAGUUGGUUGAUUGUCGAGUGUUUGGAUUUGUAAGGUAUUAUGGACCUUAUUGAAUUUUCUUUAGAGUUCGGUAUUCCUGAUAAUGCAUCUCGUGUUAUAGGCGAGUGACAGUUUUCAAAAAGACGCUUGGUUAACGACUUUAAUGCACCCAACUAACAUACGUCUAUAUUAUAUAUCAUUCGAAAGCUUAUUAUCUGUACUUUCUGUUUUGUCCGGUCGUCAAUAAUUCGUACGGUUCAAUUUUUGUUAAAUUAAGGUCAAAGGUCAAGAAUGGACAUUCACAAAUUUCACAAAAUGCCCUUUACUGAUUUUUGUAUGUUAUUUUUUUUCUUAAAUUAAUAUGGACAUAAUAGAACAGCAUACCAUAAUUCCUUAUCAAUUAAAAAAUAAAUAAAUUGCGCUAUAUUUGCAAAAAAAUGCAAUUCUUAGAAAAUAAUUCAAAAAUGAUAAAAUUGCGCUAAAAGCAAAAUAUUUCUUCAGGUAUCAAUAUUUGUAUGUCAAAAAUAAAAUAUAUUUAUUGUUUAUAGGUGAA